rnacentral:lncRNA from 1 species
CACAUCUGUACCAUCCAGUCUGAUGGUCUCUACAGCACUCCACAUCUGUACCAUCCAGUCUGAUGGUCUCUACAGCACUCCCCUAUCUAUACCAUCCAGUCUGAUGGUCUCUACACUACCCCACAUCUGUACCAUCCAGUCUGAUGGUCACUACAGCAUUCCACAUCUGUACCAUCCAGUCUGAUGGUCUCCACACUACCCCACAUCUGUACCAUCAAGUCUGAUGGUCUCUACACCACAUCUGUACCAUUCAGUUUGAUGGCCUCUACACUACCCCACAUCUGUACCAUUCAGUUUGAUGGUCUCUACACUACCCCACAUCUGUACCAUCCAGUCUGAUGGUC